GGUUACCUUGAAACUAGAACUAAAACAUGCGAUAAAAAUAGAUGCGAAAAAGUUGGGACGAGUAUCAUCUAACGUGGUAUGCGAAAAAGGUGGGAUGUGGCGGUUGCAAUGUAGCCUAUUUAAAUGCAGCAUGGUAUGGUAUGCAAAAAACAUUCAAAAGUUUCAGACACUUGAAUACCUCUACGUAUGGUUACUGAGACGGAGCAAAUCGUGUUUGCAGAAGCCAAUUUUGAAGCACAAUUCGAUUAUAAAAGGGCGUAAAUUGAAACAGAGGCAUGAUGCAAUGAAAAAUACUAUUACAAGCUGCACGACAUUGACAGAGCAUGAAGUGUAGCCCUCAUUUCAGCCCUUGCAAAUCGGAUCUGCACAUUGAAAUUAGUGAUGACGCAUGCUAUUUAUAAACGUUAAUGUGACACUAUGUGUUUCUACAUCAUUAGAUAAACACACUAUACUAAUCAUUUUUUAUUUAGGUUCGCGAGCUUAAAAAACAUAGCAAACCAAGACGAUCUCCUUUGAAAAUGGGGCGAGGUUAUCAGAGUCUACAGUUUUGAUGAUGACCAGGAAAAGAAUUCCUUACCUGACAACUGACACAGGAGAUUCAGCUUCGUUUUCUUAAAAAAAUGUAGGAUUAUUCGAGUUCAGUCCACAGCCAAAACCAAUUUCCACCAGUUUGAAUCUUGCUGGUUUUCAUUCUAUGUCAAGUCUGUUAGGUAUAUUGGAAUAAAUGUUAUCCAUUUUAGCUCA